rnacentral:lncRNA from 1 species
AUGAUAGUCACAGAGAGAGAGAGGAGAGAGAGAGAGAGAGAGAGAGAGAGAGAGACAGACAGGCAGAGGGAGAAGCAGGCUCCAUGCACCGGGAGCCCAACGUGGGAUUUGAUCCCGGUCUCCAGGAUCGCGCCCUGGGCCAAAGGCAGGUGCCAAACCGCUGCGCCACCCAGGGAUCCCAGAAGAUUCAGUUUUCUAGAAUCCCUAGAGAGGAGCUAUUUGAAGAAAAGUCUUUAAGAGAAGAAAGAACAAAGAUAAGAGACUUUUAUCAGAAGGACAGGUGAAGACAAGAUUUAAUUCUUUGUAAAAAGAAAUCAUCCAACAUUCCACGUCUAUCUAAGUGAAGUUUCCCUAACUGGAGGUAAGAUACAAAGUUUAGAAAGGCACAAAUAUAUGAAUUGGAGGAAAAAAGACAGGUAUUGGAACUUGCUAAAGACCAUACAUCAAGUGAGUGUGAAUUAAGCCUUUCAUUUUUUAUUUCACCCUACAGAUAACUCAUCAUUUAAAGAUAUAUUUAUGAACAGGGUAUAAAGGCUCAUCUUGAAAAUUCCCUUUGUCAAUUACAUUAAUAAAGUAUAGUUUUAAUAAAAUACGGUUUUAAAC